AUACGCGAGAAACCUUACCAGGGUUUGACAUGAUACGAAUUUCUUUGAAAAAAGAAAGUGCCGUUUGGAACGUAUACACAGGUGGUGCAUGGCCGUCG
rnacentral:rRNA from 1 species